UUACCAAAUAUCAAAAUAUUAAUUUUAACCAAAUAGUACUCUUGAUUCGGUUCUGAAAUUGAUUAAUUAGAAAUGUUUCGUUUAGCCUUUACUGACACAAUCAAUUUCGCUAUGAAGUUUCCGAACAACCAAAUAAUAUCAAAGUUUCAUCUCAAUGAAAUUGUUAAAAGUAAUUAUCCUCUAACUUUAAUAGAUCGUGACAAGACAUUCUCACAUCGUAAAGUCCAUUUCUAAAUGAAGUUAUAACAUAUUUUCACCUCCGUUGCAAACAUGGAAUGAGUGCACUCUAUCUGAAACUUUUAUCGAGUGUACUUCAAGUUCAUUCCUAAUCAUAAGAAACGCUGGAGAUCGGUAAAACUUUUCGACCAAGAAGGUACAAAGGUUUUUUUUAUAUCUUUUUAUGUAUAUUUUGUCCCGUACAGUUACUAACAUUGCAAACAUUUUUUUUUUAAAUUCUUCGUUACACGAAUCGUACAAAAUGUCUCAUGAAUAUUGUUUGCGCGGAAGUAAUAGGCGUAUCGACGACUGUUUCACGUGAAAAUAUUUCGACCGCGUUAAUUAACGAAGAAUGCGACGCAGAAAAAUUCGAGAACAUGCUUCACUGUAUUUCUAUUGAAAUAAUAUUAGAUAACUAUUUAUAGCCAAUGGGGCAAGUAUAAAACCGAGAUACGUCGGAACGCGAAAUAUGUAAAUACUAACAAUUAAUUAAUUAAAGUAAUUAAUUAAGUAAUUAAAGCGGCUCGAGCAUCGAGCAACGAAUACCGGCAGUUGUAUUUCACGAAAAUUACGGGCGCAAAGGUAAGUUUUAAAUUGAAAAGUCUGAAACGACGCGACGGGUGUGUUUAAAAUUCAGCGGGUUGCAUAUCAUUAUGAUAAUAAGAAGAAAAAAAACCAGAUGGUAAAUAAUGAUAGUCAAUAUUACUAUUCACAAUGGUUGUAAAUAACUUAAUUGUAGCACAAAACAAUAAUUAUAGAAAUAACAACAAAUAAUAUUCGAAUAAAAUUUGCGUGUUGCCUAUUUGAUCCAUCGUAGUUUUUGAGGGCUGAAGAACGUUUUAAGUAAUUUAAAUUGCACUUACCCAAUUGGAUGGUGGGACACGGGUGCCAUUUUCCAAUACUUUUCCUGGAUGCCAGAUAUAAUAAUCACUGUAAGGUUUAAUUCCCUUCAAGCUCUUCUGGAACCAUUCGUGCUGAUCCGACGUGUGGUUCGGGACGAAA